rnacentral:rRNA from 1 species
GUUAAGCGACUAAGCGUACACGGUGGAUGCCCUGGCAGUCAGAGGCGAUGAAGGGCGUGCUAAUCUGCGAUAAGCGCCGGUAAGGUGAUAUGAACCGUUAUAACCGGCGAUACCCGAAUGGGGAAACCCAGUGUGAUUCGUCACACUAUCAUUAACUGAAUCCAUAGGUUAAUGAGGCGAACCGGGGGAACUGAAACAUCUAAGUACCCCGAGGAAAAGAAAUCAACCGAGAUUCCCCCAGUAGCGGCGAGCGAACGGGGAGGAGCCCAGAGCCUGAAUCAGCAUGUGUGUUAGUGGAAGCGUCUGGAAAGGCGCGCGAUACAGGGUGAUAGCC